rnacentral:rRNA from 1 species
UACGGAGGGACCGAGCGUUGUCCGGAAUCAUUGGGCGUAAAGAGCGUGUAGGCGGCUUGCUAAGUCUUGCGUGAAAUCUCGGGGCUCAACCCCGAGCGGUCGUGGGAAACUGGCAGGCUAGAGUGCGGGAGAGGAGAAUGGAAUUCCUGGUGUAGCGGUGAAAUGCGCAGAUAUCAGGAAGAACACCCGUGGCGAAGGCGGUUCUCUGGAACGCAACUGACGCUGAGACGCGAAAGCGUGGGGAGCAAACAGG